UCAAAACACCACAGUGGAGGUGGUCUUAGAAGACAGAACUUGGAAGAUAUAUAUAUCCUCUACCGGUUUUCACAGCAUUUCUCCUGUAGACUUCAUUUUGUAAUUGUUUUCCUGUGUUUGUUUAUUAGUUUUGGAAUUAAACCCUGCCAUGGCGACAUCUCAACUCGGUUGCUCCCUCUGCCUAUGAAGGCUCAUGGAAAUGUUGGCAGAAGUCUGUUAACAUCUGUUGCUUUUAUUUGGCUGUAAAAUAAAAGGCAGAGGGGAAAGAGAGAGACAGACUGCUGCUGAGGGACUCACUUCGGAGAACAAUUUCACUUUGUCAUGCAGCAAUUAUUUGUUAUGAGUUUUGAAUACUUUCCUGAUUGAAUAAGUGUGUUUGUGUGUGUGUGUGUUUAGAGCUAACUUUAGGAAUCAAUUCCUAAGGAAAAUGGAGGAAAGAUCAGCUGAAUUCCUUGACUGUUGUUCUUUACUGUAGCGGGUCCAAGCCAUUAAGCAUAUUGGAAUGCAUCCAGUUUGGUGUUCCACUUUCCAUUAGUCUGCAUUCUGAAUGCAGAAUACUAAAUCUGAGCAGUGUAGCUACCUCCCUGUUUCUCCUUAGUUUGUUGAAAAGAGCACUCUUCAGCACCAAAUCCCUUUAGACCACUCACUGCCUUUUUUUCAACUAUUAACCCAACAUGUUAUGGCGGUCUCUUCUGGUGGCCUUGCACUUCCAGCUUUGUGAGCUAUUUUAGUAGGUCUGGGAGAUGAAGGAAGAAUGUUUGUGUUGCUUGCCAACUGCAAGAUAUGGAAUCCAAUAACUUUCCUUCUUGAUGCCUGAAGAAUGAGUUCUGAGGUUGCCUAGUGAUUGUAACAUGGUCUUCUCUGCGCCAUUGCUCAGAGGAAAUCCAUGGGUGUCUAGCGUCUCUUAGUAUGAUUCACUGGGGUGAAAAGGAGAGAAGAAGAAUGCCAGCACUUGGAAAGGAUGCUCAAGUGAUGAGAAGAGGCUUCCCAUAUAUAAAGAAGAAGCCAAAGGAUUCCUUUUUUCCACUCUUUCACUAUUAAAACACAAGCUUUGCCAUAGCAGAACUGCACUCAGCAGCCCAAUUGUGCCGGCAUUACUUAUACUAGACUAAUACACUAGAAGCAUUUCUCUCCCCCUCAUCCCACAUUUCAGUCAUGUACAUACUCUGUUGUUUUAAAUGCCAUUCAGUGCCUCUGCUUUCAUUGUGUCUUCCUUCCUCUUUCCAUUUGGUACUGGAAACUCAUGUGGGCGGUGGCAACGUUAAA
rnacentral:lncRNA from 1 species